rnacentral:rRNA from 2 species
UACGUAGGGGGCUAGCGUUGUCCGGAAUCAUUGGGCGUAAAGCGCGCGUAGGCGGCCAGAUAAGUCCGGUGUGAAAGUCACAGGCUCAACCUGUGAAUGCCGCUGGAAACUGUCUGGCUAGAGUCCGGAAGGGGCGAGUGGAAUUCCUGGUGUAGCGGUGAAAUGCGCAGAUAUCAGGAGGAACACCAAUGGCGAAGGCAGCUCGCUGGGACGGUACUGACGCUGAGGCGCGAAAGCGUGGGGAGCGAACAGG